UACAGAGGGGGCAAGCGUUAUUCGGAAUUAUUGGGCGUAAAGGGCGCGUAGGCGGCCUGGCAAGUGGAAGGUGAAAUCCCUCGGCUUAACCGAGGAACUGCCCUCCAAACUGCCGGGCUUGAGUGUGGGAGAGGUGAGUGGAAUUCCUGGUGUAGCGGUGAAAUGCGUAGAUAUCAGGAGGAACACCUGUGGCGAAAGCGGCUCACUGGACCAUAACUGACGCUGAUGCACGAAAGCUAGGGGAGCAAACAGG
rnacentral:rRNA from 1 species